ACCUGGUUGAUUCUGCCAGUAGUCAUAUGCUUGU
rnacentral:rRNA from 1 species